GAAGGGGGGAAUUAAUUAGUAAAAUAAUAAUAAAAAAAAUUUUAAUAUUAAAAUAUUUUAAUGGGGGUUAAAGUAUUAUUAAUAGAAAAAAUUUUAAAAUUUAUAGUUUAUUAGUAUUGUAAAAGAAUUUUGGAAUAAUUGAAAAUAAAAUUUUUUUAAAAGUAAAUUUAAUUUAUUGUAUCUUGUGUAUCAGAGUUUAUUAAAAAAUUUUUAAAAUUUUAAAUUUCUCGAAUUUAAAAGAGUUAAUUAAUUAAUAAAGUUAUUGUUGCAUAAAUAUUUUUAAUAAUUAAUUUGAAAUGAAAUGUUAAUCGUUUUUAAAUAUAUCUAGUUUUUUUAGAAAAAAAUUUAAUUUUUAAUUUAAUUAUAAAUUUAAAUAAUUAUUUAUUUAAAUUUAUAAUUAAAUUAAAUAAUUUAAGGGAUAAGCUUUAAAUUAAACUUUUAUAAUUAUUUUUUUUUUAAUUUAAAAAUUUUAUAAUUUAUAUUGUUAAUAAAUUUUAUUUUAUUAUAAAUAAUUUUAAAUAAAUAAAAAUUUAAUAAAAUUUAAUUUUUUAUAAAAAAAUUUAUACAAAUAAGAAAUAUGAAGAAAUUAUGAUAAAAUUAGUAAAUGAGUAAAAAUUAUAAUUAAAAAUUUUUAAAAAUUAUUUUUUAGGAAUUCGGCAAAAAUUUAUAUUCACUUGUUUAUCAAAAACAUGUCUUUUUGUUAAUAAUUUAAAGUCUAAUCUGCCCACUGAUUUAAAAUUGAAGGGCUGCAGUAUUUUGACUGUACAAAGGUAGCAUAAUCAUUAGUCUCUUAAUUGGUGACUUGUAUGAAGGAUUGGAUGAGAUAUAAACUGUCUUAAAAAUAUUUAAUUGAAUUUAAUUUUUUAAUUAAAAAGUUAAGAUAAAUUAAAAAGACGAGAAGACCCUAUAGAGUUUUAUAUUAAUUUAAAUUAAAAUUAUUUAUAAAUUUAUUAGUAUAAAUUUAAUUUUGUAUUUUAUUGGGGUGAUAAUAAAAUAAAUUAAACUUUUUUUAAAAAUUUACAUAAAUAAGUGAAUUAUUGAUCCAAUUUUAUUGAUUAUAAGAAAAAAUUACCUUAGGGAUAACAGCGUAAUUUUUUUUUUUAGUUCUAAUAAAAAAAAGAGUUUGCGACCUCGAUGUUGGAUUAAGAUAAAAUUUAAAUGCAAAAGUUUAAAAUUUUUGAUCUGUUCGAUCAUUAAAAUCUUACAUGAUCUGAGUUCAAACCGGUGUAAGCCAGGUUGGUUUCUAUCUUUUAAUACUUUUAAUAUUUUAGUACGAAAGGAUUAAAUAUUAUAAUUAAAUUAAAUAUUAAGAAUUUU
rnacentral:rRNA from 1 species